rnacentral:rRNA from 1 species
GACGAACGCUGGCGGCGUGCUUAACACAUGCAAGUCGAACGGAAAGGCCCUGCUUUUGUGGGGUGCUCGAGUGGCGAACGGGUGAGUAACACGUGAGUAACCUGCCCUUGACUUUGGGAUAACUACAGGAAACUGGGGCUAAUACCGGAUAGGAGCUCCUGCUGCAUGGUGGGUGGUGGAAAGUUUCGGCGGUUGGGGAUGGACUCGCGGCUUAUCAGCUUGUUGGUGGGGUAGUGGCUUACCAAGGCUUUGACGGGUAGCCGGCCUGAGAGGGUGACCGGCCACAGUGGGCCUGCGAUACGGCCCAGACUCCUACGUGAGGUAGCAGUGGGGAAUAUUGCACAAUGGGCGGAAGCCUGAUGCAGCAACGCCGCGUGCGGGAUGACGGCCUUCGGGUUGUAAACCGCUUUCGCCUGUGACGAAGCGUGAGUGACGGUAAUGGGUAAAGAAGCACCGGCUAACUACGUG